rnacentral:tRNA from 1 species
UCGGGGGUCGUCUAACGGUAAGACUCAGGACUCUGACUCCUGCUAUCGGGGUUCGAAUCCCUGCUCCCGAG